GAAUUUUUAGUUUAUAUAAUAAUAUUGGUUUGUCGAAUCAAAGAAAUUAAUUUUAAAGUUCU
rnacentral:tRNA from 1 species